AGCAGCCGCGGUAAUUCCAGCUCCAAUAGCGUAUAUUAAAGUUGUUGCAGUUAAAAAGCUCGUAGUUGAAUUUCGGGGUUGACACAUCGGUCGUGCCUUAAGGGGUAUGAACUGGAGUAGUCAGUUUCUCACCUUCUGGAGAACCGCGAUGUCCUUAAUUGGGUGCCGCGAGGAACCAGGACCUUUACUUUGAAAAAUUAGAGUGUUUAAAGCAGGCAUUUUGCUUGAAUACAUUAGCAUGGAAUAAUAAAAUAGGACGGAUGGUUCUAUUUUGUUGGUUUCUAGGAUCACCGUAAUGAUUAAUAGGGAUAGUUGGGGGCAUUAGUAUUCAAUUGUCAGAGGUGAAAUUCUUGGAUUUAUUGAAGACUAACUACUGCGAAAGCAUUUGCCAAGGAUGUUUUCAUUAAUCAAGAACGAAAGUUAGGGGAUCGAAGACGAUCAGAUACCGUCGUAGUCUUAACCAUAAACUAUGCCGACUAGGAAUCAGACGAUGUUAAUUUUUUAAUGACUCGUUUGGCACCUUACGG
rnacentral:rRNA from 1 species